rnacentral:rRNA from 1 species
GUAGGGUGCAAGCGUUAAUCGGAAUUACUGGGCGUAAAGCGUGCGCAGGCGGGUUUUGUAAGUCUGACGUGAAAUCCCCGGGGCUUAACCUGGGAAUUGCGUUGGAGACUGCAAGGCUGGAGUCUGGCAGAGGGGGUAGAAUUCCACGUGUAGCAGUGAAAUGCGUAGAGAUGUGGAGGAACACCGAUGGCGAAGGCAGCCCCCUGGGUCAAGACUGACGCUCAUGCACGAAAGCGUGGGGAGCAAAUAGGAUUAGAUACCCUGGUAGUCCACGCCCUAAACGAUGUCUACUAGUUGUCGGGUCUUAAUUGACUUGGUAACGCAGCUAACGCGUGAAGUAGACCGCCUGGGGAGUACGGUCGCAAGAUUA